rnacentral:rRNA from 1 species
GAUGAACGCUGGCGGCGUGCCUAAUACAUGCAAGUCGAGCGAACAGACGAGGAGCUUGCUCCUCUGACGUUAGCGGCGGACGGGUGAGUAACACGUGGAUAACCUACCUAUAAGACUGGGAUAACUUCGGGAAACCGGAGCUAAUACCGGAUAAUAUAUUGAACCGCAUGGUUCAAUAGUGAAAGACGGUUUUGCUGUCACUUAUAGAUGGAUCCGCGCCGCAUUAGCUAGUUGGUAAGGUAACGGCUUACCAAGGCAACGAUGCGUAGCCGAACUGAGAGGGUGAUAGGCCACACUGGAACUGAGACACGGUCAAGACUCCUACGGGAGGCAGCAGUAGGGAAUCUUCCGCAAUGGGCGAAAGCAUGACGGAGCAACGCCGCGUGAGUGAUGAAGGUCUUCGGAUCGUAAAACUCUGUUAUUAGGGAAGAACAAAUGUGUAAGUAACUAUGCACGUCUUGACGGUACCUAAUCAGAAAGCCACGGCUAACUACGUG